UAAGCGACUAAGCGUACACGGUGGAUGCCCUGGCAGUCAGAGGCGAUGAAGGACGUGCUAAUCUGCGAAAAGCGUCGGUAAGGUGAUAUGAACCGUUACAGCCGGCGAUGUCCGAAUGGGGAAACCCAGUGUGAUUCGUCACACUAUCGUUAACUGAAUACAUAGGUUAACGAGGCGAACCGGGGGAACUGAAACAUCUAAGUACCCCGAGGAAAAGAAAUCAACCGAGAUUCCCCCAGUAGCGGCGAGCGAACGGGGAGCAGCCCAGAGUCUGAAUCAGCUUGUGUGUUAGUGGAACGGUCUGGAAAGUCCGACGGUACAGGGUGAUAGUCCCGUACACCAAAAUGCACAGGCUGUGAACUCGAAGAGUAGGGCGGGACACGUGGUAUCCUGUCUGAAUAUGGGGGGACCAUCCUCCAAGGCUAAAUACUCCUGACUGACCGAUAGUGAACCAGUACCGUGAGGGAAAGGCGAAAAGAACCCCGGCGAGGGGAGUGAAAAAGAACCUGAAACCGUGUACGUACAAGCAGUGGGAGCACCUUCGGGUGUGACUGCGUACCUUUUGUAUAAUGGGUCAGCGACUUAUAUUCUGUAGCAAGGUUAACCGUAUAGGGGAGCCGCAGGGAAACCGAGUCUUAACUGGGCGUUAAGUUGCAGGGUAUAGACCCGAAACCCGGUGAUCUAGCCAUGGGCAGGUUGAAGGUUGGGUAACACUAACUGGAGGACCGAACCGACUAAUGUUGAAAAAUUAGCGGAUGACUUGUGGCUGGGGGUGAAAGGCCAAUCAAACCGGGAGAUAGCUGGUUCUCCCCGAAAGCUAUUUAGGUAGCGCCUCGUGAACUCAUCUUCGGGGGUAGAGCACUGUUUCGGCUAGGGGGUCAUCCCGACUUACCAACCCGAUGCAAACUACGAAUACCGAAGAAUGUUAUCACGGGAGACACACGGCGGGUGCUAACGUCCGUCGUGAAGAGGGAAACAACCCAGACCGCCAGCUAAGGUCCCAAAGUCACAGUUAAGUGGGAAACGAUGUGGGAAGGCACAGACAGCCAGGAUGUUGGCUUAGAAGCAGCCAUCAUUUAAAGAAAGCGUAAUAGCUCACUGGUCGAGUCGGCCUGCGCGGAAGAUGUAACGGGGCUAAACUGUGCACCGAAGCUGCGGCAGCGACACGAUGUGUUGUUGGGUAGGGGAGCGUUCUGUAAGCCUGCGAAGGUGGCCUGUGAGGGUUGCUGGAGGUAUCAGAAGUGCGAAUGCUGACAUAAGUAACGAUAAUGCGGGUGAAAAGCCCGCACGCCGGAAGACCAAGGGUUCCUGUCCAACGUUAAUCGGGGCAGGGUGAGUCGACCCCUAAGGCGAGGCCGAAAGGCGUAGUCGAUGGGAAACAGGUUAAUAUUCCUGUACUUGGUGUUACUGCGAAGGGGGGACGGAGAAGGCUAUGUUAGCCGGGCGACGGUUGUCCCGGUUUAAGCAUGUAGGCGGAGGUUCCAGGUAAAUCCGGUACCUUUUUAACGCUGAGGUGUGAUGACGAGGCACUACGGUGCUGAAGUAACAAAUGCCCUGCUUCCAGGAAAAGCCUCUAAGCAUCAGGUAACAUUAAAUCGUACCCCAAACCGACACAGGUGGUCAGGUAGAGAAUACCAAGGCGCUUGAGAGAACUCGGGUGAAGGAACUAGGCAAAAUGGUGCCGUAACUUCGGGAGAAGGCACGCUGAUAUGUAGGUGAAGCCCCUGCGGGUGGAGCUGAAAUCAGUCGAAGAUACCAGCUGGCUGCAACUGUUUAUUAAAAACACAGCACUGUGCAAACACGAAAGUGGACGUAUACGGUGUGACGCCUGCCCGGUGCCGGAAGGUUAAUUGAUGGGGUUAUCCGUAAGGAGAAGCUCUUGAUCGAAGCCCCGGUAAACGGCGGCCGUAACUAUAACGGUCCUAAGGUAGCGAAAUUCCUUGUCGGGUAAGUUCCGACCUGCACGAAUGGCGUAAUGAUGGCCAGGCUGUCUCCACCCGAGACUCAGUGAAAUUGAACUCGCUGUGAAGAUGCAGUGUACCCGCGGCAAGACGGAAAGACCCCGUGAACCUUUACUAUAGCUUGACACUGAACAUUGAGCCUUGAUGUGUAGGAUAGGUGGGAGGCUUUGAAGCGUGGACGCCAGUCUGCGUGGAGCCAACCUUGAAAUACCACCCUUUAAUGUUUGAUGUUCUAACGUUGGCCCCUUAUCGGGGUUGCGGACAGUGUCUGGUGGGUAGUUUGACUGGGGCGGUCUCCUCCCAAAGAGUAACGGAGGAGCACGAAGGUUAGCUAAUCCUGGUCGGACAUCAGGAGGUUAGUGCAAUGGCAUAAGCUAGCUUGACUGCGAGCGUGACGGCGCGAGCAGGUGCGAAAGCAGGUCAUAGUGAUCCGGUGGUUCUGAAUGGAAGGGCCAUCGCUCAACGGAUAAAAGGUACUCCGGGGAUAACAGGCUGAUACCGCCCAAGAGUUCAUAUCGACGGCGGUGUUUGGCACCUCGAUGUCGGCUCAUCACAUCCUGGGGCUGAAGUAGGUCCCAAGGGUAUGGCUGUUCGCCAUUUAAAGUGGUACGCGAGCUGGGUUUAGAACGUCGUGAGACAGUUCGGUCCCUAUCUGCCGUGGGCGCUGGAGAAUUGAGGGGGGCUGCUCCUAGUACGAGAGGACCGGAGUGGACGCAUCACUGGUGUUCGGGUUGUCAUGCCAAUGGCAUUGCCCGGUAGCUAAAUGCGGAAGAGAUAAGUGCUGAAAGCAUCUAAGCACGAAACUUGCCCCGAGAUGAGUUCUCCCUGAGACUUUAAGUCUCCUGAAGGAACGUUAAAGACGAUGACGUUGAUAGGUCGGGUGUGUAAGCGUAGCGAUACGUUGAGCUAACCGAUACUAAUGAACCGUGAGGCUUAACCU
rnacentral:rRNA from 1 species